GGUCAAGCGAAUAAGCGCACACGGUGGAUGCCUAGGCGGUCAGAGGCGAUGAAGGACGUGGUAGCCUGCGAAAAGUGUCGGGGAGCUGGCAACAAGCUUUGAUCCGGCAAUGUCCGAAUGGGGAAACCCACUGCUUCGGCAGUAUCCUGCAGUGAAUUCAUAGCUGCUAGAAGCGAACCCGGUGAACUGAAAUAUCUAAGUAACCGGAGGAAAAGAAAUCAACCGAGAUUCCCUAAGUAGUGACGAGCGAACGGGGAGCAGCCCUUAAGCUGGAAUGGCUUUAGAAAAACAAUCUGGAAAGAUUGGCCAUAGAAGGUGAUAGCCCUGUAUUUAAAAGGGCCACUCCAGUGAAGACGAGUAGGGCGGGGCACGUGAAACCCUGUCUGAAUAUGGGGGACCAUCCUCCAAGGCUAAAUACUCCUGACCGACCGAUAGUGAACCAGUACCGUGAGGGAAAGGCGAAAAGAACCCCGGAGAGGGGAGUGAAAUAGAUCCUGAAACCGUGUGCGUACAAGCAGUAGGAGCUCGCAAGAGUGACUGCGUACCUUUUGUAUAAUGGGUCAGCGACUUACUGUUCGUGGCAAGCUUAACCGUAUAGGGGAGGCGAAGGGAAACCGAGUCUGAUAAGGGCGCAUAGUCGCGGGCAGUAGACCCGAAACCGGGUGAUCUAGUCAUGGCCAGGGUGAAGGUGCCGUAACAGGUACUGGAGGCCCGAACCCACGUCUGUUGCAAAAGACGGGGAUGAGCUGUGAUUAGGAGUGAAAAGCUAAUCGAACCCGGAGAUAGCUGGUUCUCCUCGAAAGCUAUUUAGGUAGCGCCUCAUAUGUAUCCUCUCGGGGGUAGAGCACUGUUAUGGCUAGGGGUCAUCGCGACUUACCAAACCAUUGCAAACUCCGAAUACCGAGACGGACUGUAUGGGAGACACACGGCGGGUGCUAACGUCCGUCGUGAAAAGGGAAACAACCCAGACCCACAGCUAAGGUCCCAAAUUCACUGCUAAGUGGAAAACGAUGUGGAAAGGCAUAGACAGCCAGGAGGUUGGCUUAGAAGCAGCCACCCUUUAAAGAAAGCGUAAUAGCUCACUGGUCGAGUCGGUCUGCGCGGAAGAUUUAACGGGGCUAAGCAGUGAACCGAAGCUUGGGGUGCAUAAAACUUGUUUUAUGCGCGGUAGAGGAGCGUUCCGUAAGCCUGCGAAGGUGGAUUGAGAAGUCUGCUGGAGGUAUCGGAAGUGCGAAUGCUGACAUGAGUAACGAUAAUGCGGGUGAAAAGCCCGCACGCCGAAAGCCCAAGGUUUCCUUGCGCAACGUUAAUCGACGCAGGGUUAGUCGGUCCCUAAGGCGAGGGCGAAAGCCGUAGUCGAUGGGAAGCAGGUUAAUAUUCCUGCACCUCGCGUGAGUGCGAUGGAGGGACGGAGAAGGUUAGGUGUACCGGGCGUUGGUUGUCCCGGGGAAAGGCGGUAGGUUUGGAUCUUUGGCAAAUCCGGGAUCCUUUAAGACCGAGCACCGAGACGAGCCUUUUGGCGAAGUCACUGAUACCACGCUUCCAGGAAAAGCUCCUAAGCUUCAGCUCACGAAGACCGUACCGUAAACCGACACAGGUGGGUAGGAUGAGAAUUCUCAGGCGCUUGAGAGAACUCGGGUGAAGGAACUAGGCAACAUGGCACCGUAACUUCGGGAGAAGGUGCACCCUUUUUGGUGGCUCGUGCGAGCUAUAGCUGAAGAGGGUCGCAGAAACCAGGCCGCUGCGACUGUUUAUCAAAAACACAGCACUCUGCAAACACGAAAGUGGACGUAUAGGGUGUGACGCCUGCCCGGUGCUGGAAGGUUAAUUGAUGGGGUCAGCCGCAAGGCGAAGCUCUUGAUCGAAGCCCCAGUAAACGGCGGCCGUAACUAUAACGGUCCUAAGGUAGCGAAAUUCCUUGUCGGGUAAGUUCCGACCUGCACGAAUGGCGUAACGACAGCGGCGCUGUCUCCACCCGAGACUCAGUGAAAUUGAAAUCGCUGUGAAGAUGCAGCGUUCCCGUGGCAAGACGGAAAGACCCCGUGAACCUUUACUAUAGCUUUACACUGAACGCUGAGUUCGUCUGUGUAGGAUAGGUGGGAGGCUAUGAAACUGUGGCGCUAGCUGCAGUGGAGCCAUCCUUGAAAUACCACCCUGUCGUGCUUGACGUUCUAACCUAGGUCCGUUAUCCGGAUCAGGGACCGUGUAUGGUGGGUAGUUUGACUGGGGCGGUCUCCUCCUAAAGAGUAACGGAGGAGCACGAAGGUACGCUCAGCGCGGUCGGACAUCGCGCACUGUGUGCAAAGGCAUAAGCGUGCUUGACUGCAAGAUCGACGGAUCAAGCAGGUACGAAAGUAGGUCUUAGUGAUCCGGUGGUUCUGUAUGGAAGGGCCAUCGCUCAACGGAUAAAAGGUACUCCGGGGAUAACAGGCUGAUACCGCCCAAGAGUUCAUAUCGACGGCGGUGUUUGGCACCUCGAUGUCGGCUCAUCACAUCCUGGGGCUGUAGUCGGUCCCAAGGGUAUGGCUGUUCGCCAUUUAAAGUGGUACGCGAGCUGGGUUCAGAACGUCGUGAGACAGUUCGGUCCCUAUCUGCCAUGGGCGUUGGAAGUUUGAGAGGGGCUGCUCCUAGUACGAGAGGACCGGAGUGGACGAACCUCUGGUGUUCCGGUUGUCACGCCAGUGGCAUUGCCGGGUAGCUAUGUUCGGAAGCGAUAACCGCUGAAAGCAUCUAAGCGGGAAGCGCGCCUCAAGAUGAGACUUCCCGGGGCACAAGCCCCUAAAGGAACCAUGUAGACUACGUGGUUGAUAGGUCAGGUGUGUAAGUACAGCAAUGUAUUGAGCUAACUGAUACUAAUGAUCCGUGCGGCUUGACCAU
rnacentral:rRNA from 1 species